rnacentral:pre_miRNA from 1 species
CGUAAACUCCCUCGGUUCCAUAAUUCUUGUCAAAAUAUUACAUGUAUUUAAACACUUUAUAGGAAUAGAUAUAUUUAAUUUUAGACAAAUUUGAGACAAGAAUUAUGGAACGGAGGGAGUACCUA